rnacentral:rRNA from 1 species
UACGAAGGGGGCUAGCGUUGUUCGGAUUUACUGGGCGUAAAGCGCACGUAGGCGGGUUCUUAAGUCAGGGGUGAAAUCCCGAGGCUCAACCUCGGAACUGCCUUUGAUACUGGGAAUCUUGAGUUCGGGAGAGGUGAGUGGAAUUGCGAGUGUAGAGGUGAAAUUCGUAGAUAUUCGCAAGAACACCAGUGGCGAAGGCGGCUCACUGGUCCGGUACUGACGCUGAGGUGCGAAAGCGUGGGGAGCAAACAGGG